rnacentral:rRNA from 1 species
UACAUAAGCAAUUAAGAUCCCCUCCUGUAGAGUCAAAUGCUGAAACCUUAGAAGGCCAGUUGGUCAACCCGGCGACUAUAAAAAAGAGUGGUUUCCGAGGGUUUUAUACCUUUGGUAUUCUAGUCAGUGUUUUCUUCUCCGGAGGGAAUCUGGCAACACUAUCAGUCUGCGGGGUCAUCUACGAAAGAUAAUCUGCUACCGGAUUUAAAAAUCUGGUUCACAGGCUAAACGGUAGUGGAUGCAUUAUGCAUUUUAGAUAUGGUCGGUCCCUGAAUCGCUUCAGGAUAACUUCAAGGCUCCGUAUUUAGGUAUCAUAACCCUAUUAUGAGCGAAGUUGAUAUAAAAAACGUUCCGUAGGUGAACCUGCGGAAGGAUCAUUA